GUUUGCUAUGCAAUGCAAGCCUAAUUGAUGCAGUCACUACCUGCCCUGAGGAAGGACUUGCAGGAAGGUACCACCACUAUUCAUUGAAGAAAAAGGAAUGUAGCUCAGUGGAACUGCGCCUGCCUGGCAAGUACAAGAAGGGAGGAAGUUAGGUUACGAGGUGCAUCGCAGAAGACUUCCCGCUGCCUGAGGUGAAGAGGCCUCUUCCCCACGCUCCCACGAUGAUGUACUCUGUCGUCCUCCAUGCUUCAGAUCUAGGCCUCCAAAAGCCUCCUGUUUGGAAGGGGAUUGGAUCAGAGUGACACAGUACUGAACAACGGAUCAGUGAACCCAUGAGUUCAUAGCUGAGUGUGCUGUUAGAGGUGGGGC